CAGGCGCAGGCUCGCUGGAGAGCAGCCGCCCGGCUCGGUGCCGCGCGGCGCCAGCGGCCGGAGCUGCGAGGCCGGGGUCGGGGCCGGGGAGAUGCGUCCGCCGACCCUGCGGCCUCCGCGGGGGCCUCCCCCCGCCCCCCCCCCCCCCCCCCGGCCUCCAGAGCUCAGAUCGGACUAGGAAGCAGGGUUUGUCCGCAGCGGCAAAUGCAACGGGGCAGUUUCCACGGCUCACGUUGGUGUUUUCAGCCUGGCGCUGGCCUCUCAGUGACAGCAGCACAGCCAGACCUGCGGAGGAUUUCGGGGGGCUCCCUGACCGCGCCGCAGCCUACUCCGGGGGCCCAGCUUCUGCUGCCGAAACGCUCCCCGCGGAGGGCUUGGCCUCAUUCCGCCGAGUCUCCGCGGGACUCCCAGUGAGAAAAGAAAUGCUCCUCAGUGCCUCUUCCCUCUUGUGAAACGCUUCCUUCUGCUCAGGGGACACGUGUGACCUGUGCACGUGGGGGGCUUUUGUGCACUUGUGCCCACGGCACUGCGAUGGGUCCUUAGUGUGAUUGUCUCUGCAGGGCCAGAGUCAGGCCGCUGCUGCUCUUCAGUGAGAUCAGUGCUGCCCGGCAGGGGCCGCUAGCAAUGUUCUGACAAGUCCUGCAGACUCUGCCAAGACAGCAGGAGCCCAGGCCUCACGGAUCUCCAGGGAUCAUUGUGUGUCCUCAGCAGCAGCCUGGCAGAAACACGGAACCACACGCCUGUGUCAGCUUAGUGACUCAGCAAACGGAGAGGCUCUGCUUCCACCGGGGCCCCUCCAGCCGGCCCAUGGGUUGGGUGGUGCUUCCUGGCCCUGCGGCUGUACCCUGACCCUGUUGGGUGCCAUGGCCGCUGGUAGGGGUGGGCGGCCCGCUCUGACCUCAGACCCCAUCCAGAAGCGCCUGCUGCCAUGCAGCAUGGGAAGCCCCCCGCCCCUCGCCCUGUACUUGGUUAGAGAAAGAUCUGGAAGAUACGCAACUGGAAAACAAGGUGUCGCUGGUGGUGAGGAGUUGCUGGCAGGCGAGUACCAUGCCCAAGGCGGGGAGGAAGAGCGUCUAGACUGAAAGUAAACGCACUACCUAAAAGGCGAGAAUGAGUCGUAGCUGAUGGACAAAACUGAGGCCAAGCCCAGGACACAGCCUCUCAGGGGCCCUUAGGGAGGCUCCAAAGAGGUCAGAGAGGAGCCGGAUCCACAGGAGUUUUUGCAACAAAAACCAUGUAGUCGGAACAUCAAAAGAUUAGUUAGAGAAAACCAGGCAUUUCAAGUGAAGGAGUGCAGCGCUUUUUUGUGUGGGGGGAGCUGUGGGUCUGGCUCCCGAAGUCAUUCCUGGACGUGACCCCUCGCCCCCCAGGGCCAGGGUCCUGUGCCUUCCCUGCCUGAGUCCCUGGGAGUGCUGUGGGGACACUGUGGUGGCUUGAUGGCUGCAGCAUCCUUUGUUGACUCACAUGACAGGCGACACUCCUCACUCACAGUGUCGUAAUGACUGGACCUGACAGGCAGUGUGAGCAGGGCUUCCUCCGCCAGCCCCAGAGACUGGUGCGGGAAAGCACGUGGCUGCUGCGGGACCUGCGACGGGAGCCAUCAGAACCCAGUGACUGAGGGCUGUGCCCACGCCUGCAGAGCAUCCUGUGGGCCGGGACCCAGGCACACACUAUAAUGAGAAGAGGAAACUGAUGCUCAGAAAGGCUGAGUCAUUUACCCGGGGCCACACAG
rnacentral:lncRNA from 1 species